CUAGUCGCACGAGUUCAGACUCGUGGCGAAUAGCUCAGUAACACGUGGCCAAACUACCCUUCGGAACACAAUACCCUCGGGAAACUGAGGCUAAUAGUGUAUACCAUACCACCACUGGAAUGAGUGGUAUGCCAAACGCUCCGGCGCCAAAGGAUGUGGCUGCGGCCGAUUAGGUAGACGGUGGGGUAACGGCCCACCGUGCCAAUAAUCGGUAUGGGUCAUGAGAGUGAGAACCCAGAGACGGAAUCUGAGACAAGAUUCCGGGCCCUACGGGGCGCAGCAGGCGCGAAACCUUUACACUGCACGACAGUGCGAUAGGGGGAUCCCAAGUGCACAGGCAUAGCGCCUGUGCUUUUCGGUACCCUAAGGCGGUACCAGAAUAAGGGCUGGGCAAGACCGGUGCCAGCCGCCGCGGUAAUACCGGCAGCCCAAGUGAUGGCCGAUCUUAUUGGGCCUAAAGCGUCCGUAGCUGGCCGCGCAAGUCCAUCGGGAAAUCCACCUGCUCAACAGGUGGGCGCCCGGUAGAAACUGCGUGGCUUGGGACCGGAAGGCGCGACGGGU
rnacentral:rRNA from 2 species